rnacentral:rRNA from 1 species
UACGGAGGGUGCGAGCGUUAAUCGGAAUUACUGGGCGUAAAGCGUGCGUAGGCCGUUCGUUAAGUCAGAUGUGAAAGCCCCGGGCUUAACCUGGGAACGGCAUUUGAAACUGGCGGACUAGAGUUUAGUAGAGGGGAGUGGAAUUUCAGGUGUAGCGGUGAAAUGCGUAGAUAUCUGAAGGAACACCAGUGGCGAAGGCGACUCCCUGGACUAGAACUGACGCUGAGGUACGAAAGCGUGGGUAGCAAACAGG